AUUGAACGCUGGCGGCAUGCCUUACACAUGCAAGUCGAACGGCAGCACGGGAGCAAUCCUGGUGGCGAGUGGCGAACGGGUGAGUAAUAUAUCGGAACGUGCCCAGUCGUGGGGGAUAACGCAGCGAAAGCUGUGCUAAUACCGCAUACGAUCUCUGGAUGAAAGCGGGGGACUCGCAAGGGCCUCGCGCGAUUGGAGCGGCCGAUAUCAGAUUAGCUAGUUGGUGGGGUAAAGGCUCACCAAGGCGACGAUCUGUAGCUGGUCUGAGAGGACGACCAGCCACACUGGAACUGAGACACGGUCCAGACUCCUACGGGAGGCAGCAGUGGGGAAUUUUGGACAAUGGGCGCAAGCCUGAUCCAGCAAUGCCGCGUGCAGGAUGAAGGCCUUAGGGUUGUAAACUGCUUUUGUACGGAGCGAAACGACUCUCUCUAAUAAAGGGGGUUAAUGACGGUACCGUAAGAAUAAGCACCGGCUAACUACGUGC
rnacentral:rRNA from 1 species